UACGUAGGGUGCGAGCGUUAAUCGGAAUUACUGGGCGUAAAGCGUGCGCAGGCGGUGAUGUAAGACAGGUGUGAAAUCCCCGGGCUUAACCUGGGAACUGCAUUUGUGACUGCAUCGCUGGAGUGCGGCAGAGGGGGGAUGGAAUUCCGCGUGUAGCAGUGAAAUGCGUAGAUAUGCGGAGGAACACCGAUGGCGAAGGCAGCCCCCUGGGCUGACACUGACGCUCAGGCACGAAAAGCGUGGGGAGCAAACAGG
rnacentral:rRNA from 1 species